UACGUAGGGAGCGAGCGUUGUCCGGAUUUAUUGGGCGUAAAGAGCGCGUAGGCGGCUCGGUAGGCCGGAUGUGAAACCUCCAAGCUCAACUUGGAGCGGCCAUUCGGAACUGCUGUGGCUAGAGUCUGGUAGGGGAACACGGAAUUCCUGGUGUAGCGGUGAAAUGCUUAGAUAUCAGGAGGAACACCAGUGGCGAAGGCGGUGUUCUGGGCCAGUACUGACGCUGAGGCGCGAAAGCGUGGGGAGCGAACAGG
rnacentral:rRNA from 1 species